GUGCCAGCAGCCGCGGUAAUACGUAGGUGGCAAGCGUUAUCCGGAAUUAUUGGGCGUAAAGCGCGCGUAGGCGGUUUUUUAAGUCUGAUGUGAAAGCCCACGGCUCAACCGUGGAGGGUCAUUGGAAACUGGAAAACUUGAGUGCAGAAGAGGAAAGUGGAAUUCCAUGUGUAGCGGUGAAAUGCGCAGAGAUAUGGAGGAACACCAGUGGCGAAGGCGACUUUCUGGUCUGUAACUGACGCUGAUGUGCAAAGCGUGAGGAUCAAACA
rnacentral:rRNA from 1 species